UAGGUAUGAUCUCGUGAAAUCUUGAGAGAAACUGAAUGACGAAUGAAACUAUUGUUCCUGUUUCACACAGAAGAAAACUGAGGUUAAAAGGGGUAAAGUAAUUUUGCAUGGCAUGAAGUAGAAAUUCAAAGUACAGGAAUUUGAACUUGGUUCUGUCCUUUUCUGAAGCCCUUGACCACUAUAGACUCAAACAUCACCUUGUUUUUCCACUCAUUCAACACUUUUUUUUUUAAAUUAUCUAAUAGGUUGGCACUCAUCAUGAGCCCCUGUUCUCAUUCUGCAAAUGGUGAAGCUCUCUAUUGUCCUGACCCCACAGUUCCUGUCCCAUGACCAGGGCCAGCUCACCAAGGAGCUGCAGCAGCAUGUAAAGUCAGUGACAUGCCCAUGCGAGUACCUGAGGAAGCCAGGUGGAGUUUGUCCCAGAGCCGCACAAAAUCAUCACCAGCAUGAUUAAACGGAGUAGACUUCAGAAAAAGCAGUUUG
rnacentral:lncRNA from 1 species